AGACUUCUUACCCAAACCCGAGAGUCCUCUAGGCCCCAGGAAGAGGUGACAUGGUCCCGUGUUGUGUGUCUCCGACCUCCUACACCUCAUCAAGCUAGACUUCCAUGUUCAGAAAAGAGAUCACCACAGAGCUGCCAAACAUAAUAACCUAUGAAGAACUGUGAGAUGGCCGGCCACCUCCCUUGGCUUAUAUUUGACCCAGAGGGAACAACUACCUCCUUGUUACCCUGAGCUGAGGAAUGGAAACCAGGAGCUCAGGUGUGCUCAGCAAGCAUGUCUACCACGGAGCUGCACCCAGCCUCAGUGCUUUUUUGUUGUUGUUUUGUAAAGGAACCCAGGCUGGCCUUGAAGUGGUGAUCCUUUUGUCUUCAAAUAUCUGCAUGCUGAGAUCAUAGCCAACAUGUCUGAUCCAAUGUCAUUCUUAAUGAGUGAAGCGAUCAGGAGAGCUGGCCUAAAGGUCAUCGGAGUGGGAGAGCUGGCUUGGCCCUUCACCCGCGGCAGCACUGUAUGGGAGAGUUACAAGGAUGGAAGGCCAAUAUGAGAAGAUGGGGAGGUAAUAAGUGCUUAUCUGGAGUUCUAAAUUGGAAAUCAGCAGCCUUUCCCUGAAGAACCAGACAGUGAAUGUUACAGAAUCUGCAGAGGUCUUUAUCCCUUGUGCAAACAUGACUGAAGAAAACUGUAACCACCCACAACUGCAGCACACAUUGUGUUCCAAGUCUGGCUUGGGGUUCCUAUUGUCGUGAUAAGGUACCAUGACUGAAGGCAACUUGGGAAGGAUUCUAUAGAACAACGUACUAAGCUCUGAGCACUCUAUGUUUUUCAAGCCCAAAGUUUGACUGCCACUGCAAUCCUCCCAAAACCACAUGAUGAGGAACAUGAGGGUCAGGGUGCAUUGGAGACCUGAGCAGAGAAAGUGGGAAACUGAGGACUUGAACCCCACUUCACUCUCAGCCAAAGUUCACGAUCAAGAGCUGGGCAUUGUCACAGUCCCUGGAGCUGUGGUUUCCUUAGGGACCUCAGAAACCAGAGGGACUACUGUGAAUGUCUAGGAGUGAGGUACAGGCACUUGUCUCUGAAUCAGCGUGGGUGGGUACCUGCGCUGCUGAUGCACAGCCUGCUUUCCCCUGCAUUGAAGGCGAAGGGCCCUUCCUCAACUUUGCCUUUGUGUGACGACACUAGAUGCAGAAGAACAAAACUGAACGUGACCCUGACAUGAGCAGUUUUACCCUGUGGGCCCCUCUGAACUUUAGUCUCUUCCUCUGAAAAUUGGGAUUGUGGCUCCCUUCACAAAGAAGGUGGAUAGCAAAGAAGUUGGUAUAGCAGAUGCCAAAUAAAUGUCAGAGGACAUGGCCUGCAUGGGUUCCAUCUGUAGCGGUGCUCUGUGAACUACAAUAGCCAAACUAUUAUGUGUAGAACUUCUUUUAGAAUUCAUCUUAUUUUUA